CCAGAGAAUGAGAACACACUGCAGUCUGUUGGCUUUCCAACACUGCUAUUUGGAAUAUUGACUGUGUCAACUCUCACACAAUGUUCAUCCUUAAUAGUUUUGUUCCCCAAAAACUUAUUUGUGAAAGUGACACCCAAGUGUCACAGAGAGGAGACCAAUGCCCAGAGGAUCCUCAGACUAGGACCAGGAAGGCAAACCUCUAG
rnacentral:lncRNA from 1 species